rnacentral:rRNA from 1 species
UGUGACGAGUUUGAUCAUGGCUCAGAAUGAACGCUGGCGGCGUGGAUUAGGCAUGCAAGUCGAACGCGAAAGUUCCCUUCGGGGAGCGAGUAGAGUGGCGAAAGGGUGAGUAAUGCUUGGAUGACCUGCCCUCGAGACGGGGACAACAGUUCGAAAGGACUGCUAAUACCCGAUAGUCCGGUUUAGAUGCGUCUAGAUCGGUAAAUGGUGCUUCCGCUCGAGGAGGGGUUCAAGUCCUAUCAGCUUGUUGGUGAGGUAACGGCUCACCAAGGCGAUGACGGGUAGCCGGACUGAGAGGUUGGCCGGCCACAUGGGAACUGAGACACUGUCCAGACUCCUACGGGAGGCAGCAGUAGGGAAUAUUGGGCAAUGGAGGCAACUCUGACCCAGCCAUCCCGCGUGCAGGAAUAAGGCCCUAUGGGUUGUAAACUGCUUUUAUUAGGGAAGAAAAACUUCGAUUCAUCGGAGCUUGACGGUACCUAACGAAUAAGCACCGGCUAACUCCGUG